rnacentral:rRNA from 1 species
CCUACGGGAGGCAGCAGUAGGGAAUAUUGCUCAAUGGGGGAAACCCUGAAGCAGCAACGCCGCGUGGAGGAUGAAGGUUUUCGGAUUGUAAACUCCUUUUGUUAGAGAAGAUAAUGACGGUAUCUAACGAAUAAGCACCGGCUAACUCCGUGCCAGCAGCCGCGGUAAUACGGAGGGUGCAAGCGUUACUCGGAAUCACUGGGCGUAAAGAGCGCGUAGGCGGGUUAGCAAGUCAGAUGUGAAAUCCUAUGGGUUAAACAUAGAACUGCAUUUGAAACUGUUAUUCUAGAGUAUGGGAGAGGUAGGUGGAAUUCUAGGUGAAGGGGUAAAAUCCGUAGAGAUCAAGAGGAAUACUCAUGGCGAAGGCGACCUGCUAGAACAUAACUGACGCUGAUGCGCGAAAGCGUGGGGAGCAAACAGGAUUAGAUACCCUAGUAGUC